GAUGAACGCUGGCGGCGUGCCUAAUACAUGCAAGUCGAGCGAACAGAUGAGGAGCUUGCUCCUCUGACGUUAGCGGCGGACGGGUGAGUAACACGUGGAUAACCUACCUAUAAGACUGGGAUAACUUCGGGAAGCCGGAGCUAAUACCGGAUAAUAUAUUGAACCGCAUGGUUCAAUAGUGAAAGACGGUUUUGCUGUCACUUAUAGAUGGAUCCGCGCCGCAUUAGCUAGUUGGUAAGGUAACGGCUUACCAAGGCAACGAUGCGUAGCCGACCUGAGAGGGUGAUCGGCCACACUGGAACUGAGACACGGUCCAGACUCCUACGGGAGGCAGCAGUAGGGAAUCUUCCGCAAUGGGCGAAAGCCUGACGGAGCAACGCCGCGUGAGUGAUGAAGGUCUUCGGAUCGUAAAACUCUGUUAUUAGGGAAGAACAAAUGUGUAAGUAACUAUGCACGUCCUGACGGUACCUAAUCAGAAAGCCACGGCUAACUACGUG
rnacentral:rRNA from 1 species